UUGGUUUCCUUACCUUUCCACUGUGGCUCUUACCUAGCUACAGGAGGUGUCCUCCUCUGGUUCCAUGUCCCUAGUAUUAGGCAUAUUGGUUAUGGUUACCUGCACUGACUCUUAGGAGCCUCCCUCAUCAAAAUGUCUGUUUGUAGGCAUUAACACUUAUAGCAGAGUUAGAAAUUUUAUCUCCAUAAUUAUUUCUAUAUAAUUAUGACAUUUUAAAAUACACUAUGCUAACAAUAUUUCUGGAAUAAAGCUUGAACACAUACCUUUUUGUCUCUAGAUGGUCCAUCCUUUCGUCACAGCUCCAAACUUUGUCUCUGUAACUCCUUCCAUGGGUGUUUUGUUCCCAAUUCUAAGAAGGGGCAAAGUAUCCACACUUUGGUCUUCGUUCUUAUUGAGUUUCAUGCGUUUAGCAAAUUGUAUCUUAUAUAUUGGGUAUUCUAAGUUUCUGGGCUAAUAGCCACUUAUCAGUGAGCACAUAUUGUGUGAGUUCCUUUGUGAUUGGGUUACCUCACACAGGAUGAUGCCCUCCAG
rnacentral:lncRNA from 1 species